UGCAGCUCAGUGGUAGAGUGCUUGCCUAGCAUGCAUGAGGCACUGGGUUCAAUUCUCAGCA
rnacentral:tRNA from 1 species